GACGAACGCUGGCGGCGUGCUUAACACAUGCAAGUCGAACGGAAAGGCCCUGCUUUUGUGGGGUGCUCGAGUGGCGAACGGGUGAGUAACACGUGAGUAACCUGCCCUUGACUUUGGGAUAACUUCAGGAAACUGGGGCUAAUACCGGAUAGGAGCUCCUGCUGCAUGGUGGGGGUUGGAAAGUUUCGGCGGUUGGGUAUGGACUCGCGGCUUAUCAGCUUGUUGGUGGGGUAGUGGCUUACCAAGGCUUUGACGGGUAGCCGGCCUGAGAGGGUGACCGGCCACAUUGGGACUGAGAUACGGCCCAGACUCCUACGGGAGGCAGCAGUGGGGAAUAUUGCACAAUGGGCGGAAGCCUGAUGCAGCAAAGCAGCGUGCGGGAUGACGGCCUUCGGGUUGUAAACCGCUUUCGCCUGUGACGAAGCGUGAGUGACGGUAAUGGGUAAAGAAGCACCGGCUAACUACGUG
rnacentral:rRNA from 1 species